ACAAAGCAUUUCUUUUUGGAAAAGUUUUAACCGUUUGCAAGAAGCUUGUGAGGAAACCUAUCUUGCUCCUAUUUUACAGAUAAAGAAAAAUGAGGCUCCUGGGGUUGAAAUGAGAACCCCAAGCUUUACCAGAAGAGGAGUUAGUGUUCUGGAAGAGAAGAGAAGAGUUCCCUGUAGUUCCAUCUUCCUUCCCAGAGAUAACAAAAGUGGACAUUUUGAGCUUUCAGCCAAUGGAAUAGGAGUUGCCAAAGCAAUUCAACGUUGUUAGCAAUUUGAAGAUGGCUCAAUGCUCCAGAACUUUCGCCUCAUGGAACUUAUCAUAAAGGCUGUGAAGAAGGAAGAAAAGUCAACAAUGUGGCAUGAUGGCAGCACCCCAGCCACAGAGGCGAGUGAUAUUCUCUGGCUAAACUACUUCAGCUUUCACCCUGAGGAAGCAAGAUCUCCAUCAGCACCCGGUGUUGUGGUAUGUGCUGCUUUUUGAUCCUGUCCCAGCCACUUGGACUGUGUUUGAGUCCUGUGCAGGUCAGGCAGCGGGUGAGAAAGCCUGACCAGAUGUCAGAGUCCAGGUGUCAGCUGAGCUGCAUUGCCUGAGCCUUGCCAAUGUGUGUUCUCUCUCGCCUUUUAAACUUUCCAGGCCUGGAAUGAGGGGACAUUUGAGUUGUCCUCAGUCCGAAGGAACCACUGCCCUGUGGCAGGUCUCCCAGGAAGAUAUCCAUGUGGUCUGUAGAUUGUCUUUUAACUGCAUGAAUAUGUUUUUUUAAAGCCAGUUGGAAGGUGGGUGCUUUCAUUCAGUAGGUGCCUGCUGUUUUAUGAAAGAGAGAAAAUUCCUCUUUAAAAGUGAAGUGAAAUCUACAAAUUUAAAGGCUAGUUUAGGGGUGUUAAAGAAGCAAAUAUGAUGAGUCUUUAAGUGAACACACAGUUGUUACAGAGAGCAUCAGGCCAGUCUGUGUGUGUUUGAGGCUCAUACUGUCAGUGUGAAUUGGGAUGUUAACUGUUGAAGGUUGGGGUCUCAGUGGGACUUCACAAAUACAAUAUAAAAGUUGAAGGCAGCUUUGGCAUCCGAGGCACGCUGUUGAGAUUCAGGUGGGAACCAUCCCAAAGCCCAGCUAUGGCCUCACAGCAGGAGUUUUAGGUGUUCACUCCUGCUGCACCUGUCUGUGCUUCCUUCCCAGCUGCCAUGCAGCCCCUCAAAGGCUGUGGACUCCAAGACCGUGGAGCCGGCAUUUCUAGGAGCCAGGAUCAAGCCUGACUUGGCCACAUAAUUUGACUUUAUUCUAGGCAGGAACUAAUAAACGUUUUCUUCACUUGAUUCCA
rnacentral:lncRNA from 1 species